rnacentral:rRNA from 1 species
ACCAAGGCGACGAUCUAUAGCUGGUCUGAGAGGACGAUCAGCCACACUGGGACUGAGACACGGCCCAGACUCCUACGGGAGGCAGCAGUGGGGAAUAUUGGACAAUGGGCGAAAGCCUGAUCCAGCAAUACCGCGUGUGUGAAGAAGGCCUUAGGGUUGUAAAGCACUUUCAAUUGGGAGGAAAACCUACCGGUCAAUACCCGGUAGCUUGACAUUACCUUUAGAAGAAGCACCGGCUAACUCCGUGCCAGCAGUCGCGGUAAUACGGAGGGUGCAAGCGUUAAUCGGAAUUACUGGGCGUAAAGCGUGCGUAGGCGGUUCGUUAAGUCAGAUGUGAAAGCCCUGGGCUCAACCUGGGAACUGCAUUUGAAACUGGCGGACUAGAGUUUAGUAGAGGGGAGUGGAAUUUCAGGUGUAGCGGUGAAAUGCGUAGAUAUCUGAAGGAACACCAGUGGCGAAGGCGACUCCCUGGACUAGAACUGACGCUGAGGUACGAAAGCGUGGGUAGCAAACAGGAUUAGAUACCCUGGUAGUCCACGCCGUAAACGAUGUCAACUAGCCGUUGGUCCUAUUUACAGGAUUAGUGGCGCAGCUAACGCAUUAAGUUGACCGCCUGGGGAGUACGGCCGCAAGGUUAAAACUCAAAGGAAUUGACGGA